UGGAUGAUGUGGAUUAAUUCGAUGCAACGCGAAGAACCUUACCUACCCUUGACAUGUCCGGAACUUGCCAGAGAUGGCUUGGUGCCCGAAAGGGAAUCGGAACACAGGUGCUGCAUGGCUGUCGUCAGCUCGUGUCGUGAGAUGUUGGGUUAAGUCCCGCAACGAGCGCAACCCUUAUCAUUAGUUGCUACGCAAGGGCACUCUAAUGAGACUGCCGGUGACAAACCGGAGGAAGGUGGGGAUGACGUCAAGUCCUCAUGGCCCUUAUGGGUAGGGCUUCACACGUCAUACAAUGGUCGGUACAGAGGGUUGCCAAGCCGCGAGGCGGAGCCAAUCCCACAAAGCCGAUCGUAGUCCGGAUUGUUCUCUGCAACUCGAGAGCAUGAAGUCGGAAUCGCUAGUAAUCGCAGGUCAGCAUACUGCGGUGAAUACGUUCCCGGGUCUU
rnacentral:rRNA from 1 species